CCUAAUUUUCGAGCUCUCUCUCCCUCCCUUCAUCUCUCUACUUUCCUCCAUUGUUAGCCAUUGAUGAAACCUUCGAAGCUUCACCCAAGUAUGCCAAACACAUAAAUCACUACUUAAAUCCUCCAUAAACACCUCUUAUCAACUUAAAUCCAAGAGAAUCCUUGAAGAUUGGUUUCAAGAAUAGUGAGAGAAAAUUUGGAUAAUUGGUGAAAACUUGGACACGAGCAGAGCAGGGAAGUAAGUAACUCCGCUUUGACGGGAGUUUUUGAGUAAGGUCUUCAGGCUAAGCGAGGAGUGAGAUUGGUCUGGUGCUGGUGGGGGAUCGUUGGAUGACGUAUUUACUUUAUCGUAUUUUCCUUUUUUAUCGAUAAAGUCUUGAUGUGAAGUUACCUUAAAUAUGAAUCAAGUAAUAUACUCACGGUUAUGUGUCUCCAUACAUGUAAUCGGUUCGCCUUUUGCUGCGAUACUCUGCAUAUUAUUUUUCCUUACGAAAAAUAAGCUAUACCUGUUUUGUUUUUGUUCGUGAAAUUCCUGAUAAUUAAAAAGUUACAACAACGUUGACGAUUUUACCCUUGGGUUCAAUUAAUAAUAUUUUCCUUAGCAUGCUUUGAUGUGAGCUUCCGCUUGAUGUUCGACCUACUCUUCUAUUCCUUUAUUCUUUA